rnacentral:rRNA from 1 species
AGGGCCCUACGGGAGGCAGCAGUGGGGAAUAUUGCACAAUGGGGGAAACCCUGAUGCAGCAACGCCGCGUGAAGGAAGACGGUUUUCGGAUUGUAAACUUCUGUUCUUAGUGAAGAUAAUGACGGUAGCAGAGGAGGAAGCUCCGGCUAACUACGUGCCAGCAGCCGCGGUAAUACGUAGGGAGCGAGCGUUGUCCGGAUUUACUGGGUGUAAAGGGUGCGUAGGCGGGUAAGCAAGUCAGAAGUGAAAUCCAUGGGCUUAACCCAUGAACUGCUUUUGAAACUGUUUAUCUUGAGUGAAGUAGG